rnacentral:rRNA from 1 species
GAGUUUGAUCUUGGCUCAGAUUGAACGCUGGCGGCAUGCCUUACACAUGCAAGUCGAACGGCAGCACGGGGGCAACCCUGGUGGCGAGUGGCGAACGGGUGAGUAAUACAUCGGAACGUGCCCAGUAGUGGGGGAUAGCCCGGCGAAAGCCGGAUUAAUACCGCAUACGACCUGAGGGUGAAAGCAGGGGAGUCGCAAGACCUUGCGCUAUUGGAGCGGCCGAUGUCGGAUUAGCUAGUUGGUGGGGUAAAGGCCUACCAAGGCUACGAUCCGUAGCUGGUCUGAGAGGACGACCAGCCACACUGGGACUGAGACACGGCCCAGACUCCUACGGGAGGCAGCAGUGGGGAAUUUUGGACAAUGGGCGAAAGCCUGAUCCAGCCAUGCCGCGUGCGGGAAGAAGGCCUUCGGUUGUAA